GACUGAGCCACCCAGGCGCCCCCGGGCUUUUCUGAUUUACGGGGAGAUCGAGCACUCCUGGCAAUCGGGCAUCUGGGGGACACCUAGCGGGGGAUCCUGCUGAGUAUGGUGUUAGGCACGGCACAGCCCCCAAAGGUGAGGGCUGUUCUAGGCCCAGAUGCCAGGUAUGGGGAGGACGGGGGUUGAUGCACUCUGAGAGCCUCAAGGGCGGAGGUGUUUACCGUCCUGGCAGUGCUGGGUGGUGGCCACAUCCUGGAGAUACUUCCCAGCCUCCCUCCGUGGAGGGUCUCUAAGUCCGACACCACGGACCUCUCUUUACUGAAACCCUCUCUGUCAGCUUCCAGAUCCCACCUCUGCCAGUUCUCCUCCACC